GUAGGAGCUGCCGCAGGCUGCGAUCUUUUGAUCUUGUAUUUUGAAAGCAGGUCAAAAGAUCGCAGCCUGCGGCAGCUCCUAC
rnacentral:misc_RNA from 1 species